rnacentral:tRNA from 1 species
GGGGGCGGAUGGGGUCUGGUGGUCCUCACGGUCUUCAAAACCGUAGCGGCCUGACGUCGUCGGGCUGGGUGGGUUCGAUUCCCACACGCUCCCGCCA